CAUAGGAUGUCGCUGUGUUGAUGAGGGCUGCUCCGCUAUAAAAGGGGAAGUGGCACUGUAGUAGGGAGUGCCAGUUUCCUGGUUGGAGUUGCCAGGACGUCGCUGGGCCACGUCAGCCUUGGUGCAAGGUGGUUUUUAGUAGCAUCAGGGCUGGGAUCUGAGUGGUGUAGAUCCUGGGAAAAGCAUGUUGACUGAGUAAUGGAAUUCAACGCUGCAGCUGUUGGGUACCGUUGCCUGCUGUCCUUUUAGGGUUUUUGUUUUAAAGUUAGUCCGCUCCUGGUCCAAUUGUUUGUGGUGGCGCUGAUUAUACGG